GAAGGUAUAGUUCAGUGAUCGAGCUUGUGUGCUUAGCAUGCAUGAGGCCCUGGGUUCAAUCCCUGGUACCUCCA
rnacentral:tRNA from 1 species